GACGAACGCUGGCGGCGUGCUUAACACAUGCAAGUCGAACGGAAAGGCCCCUUUGGGGGUACUCGAGUGGCGAACGGGUGAGUAACACGUGAGUAACCUGCCCUUGACUUCGGGAUAACUUCAGGAAACUGGGGCUAAUACCGGAUAGGAAUCCUUGCUGCAUGGUGGGGGUUGGAAAGCUUCGGCGGUUUUGGAUGGACUCGCGGCUUAUCAGCUUGUUGGUGGGGUAGUGGCUUACCAAGGCUUUGACGGGUAGCCGGCCUGAGAGGGCGACCGGCCACAUUGGGACUGAGAUACGGCCCAGACUCCUACGGGAGGCAGCAGUGGGGAAUAUUGCACAAGGGGCGGAAGCCGGAUGCAGCAACGCCGCGGGCGGGAUGACGGCCUUCGGGUUGUAAACCGCUUUCAGCAGGGGCGAAGCUUGUGGUGACGGUACCUGCAGAAGAAGCACCGGCUAACUACGUG
rnacentral:rRNA from 1 species